rnacentral:rRNA from 1 species
UUCGCCUACGGGGCGCAGCAGUGGGGGAUAUUGUACAAUGGGGGAAACCUUGAUGCAGCGACGCCGCGUGGGUGAAGAAGCGCCUCGGCGCGUAAAGCCCUGUCAGCAGGGAAGAAAAUGACGGUACCUGAAGAAGAAGCCCCGGCUAACUACGUGCCAGCAGCCGCGGUAAUACGUAGGGGGCAAGCGUUAUCCGGAUUUACUGGGUGUAAAGGGGGCGCAGACGGCGAUGCAAGCCAGGAGUGAAAGCCCACGGCCCAACCGUGGGACUGCUCUGGAAACUGUAGAGCUGGAGUGCGGGAGGG